UCCUCCCUGGUGUCUCCUGGUCAGGGCAGAGUGCUGGGGCCCUUGGGCACAGUGACAUCAGGGACACUUUCCAAUAGGGGUCUGGGUGGGACGCUUCUCCAGCAAGCUGGCAGUGUGGUCUCCGCUCUGUGUUCCUCUCCUGAGAGCUCUGUGUGGUAGCAGUCAGCAGGGACCUGCACAUGGCCUGCUUGCCUGCAAUAACCCACAUGCCUGCCAGGCACAUGUGCACACCUGCGUGUGCACUCACAGGCCUACCUGUAUACACACACAUACCUGUCUGUGUACACAAACGUGCCUGGCUGUGUACAUGCAUGCGUCUGACCUUGUGCAUACAUUUCUGUCCAUGUACACAUUUGCCCAUGUACAAAUAACUGCUUAAUGAAACACACACAUCUUCCAUGUGCACACACAUCUCCCCACACAUGUGCCUGCCCGUGAACACACGUGUUUGUUCAUGUACACAUGUGCCUACCCCAGGACACACACACAUCUCAUGAGCCAUGCACACUGCCCAUCUUUCCACACCCAGGCAUGAAGCACGCAGCCUUCAGGUGGACAGACACCUGCCUCCACUGGCCCUAGCCAGGGCAUCGCCAAGAGAAGCAGCCAUGACAGCGUGGCCAGGAGGGAGACUGGAGUAGGCGGCCUGGAGCCAGGGAAAGAGCAGGCCUGUGGGGUUCCCUACCUCUCCGGCUGCUACAGCAGAGCUGGGGGGAAACUAAUCCAGACUAUCACUGCUGGGGGCCCCCUGCCACGCAGCCUCUUUCCGCUUCUCCUUCUUGGACAGUGGCUGGGGCCUCAUCUUGUGCACAACGGAAAUGACUUUCCUGGGAGGCUUCAUUCAUCAACACAGCAGCAACUUUCAUGGCAUUUUAAAUACAAAGUAAACCAGCCGAUCAGCACCACUGUGGAGUAAAUGCAGAGGCUUGGGAGGGAGCUGGGCUGCAGAAUGGGGGCUGAACCUCGGUCCCCCGCCCCAGGAUGGGGGAGCUCAUGUGACCUCCUCCCCUCUCCAGCCUGGGUUACUCAUUUCUAAAACGACAGGGUUGAACCAAGCCAGCAACGCCCUUAGCAGAAAGAGAAGGCACGGAAGGCCUGGACUCAGAAAGCUGUGCACUUCUCUGCACGUCGAGCCUGACCAAAGCCUCUUGGCUUAGGGAACAGAAAACUGUAGAGGGCUUGAGCUAAAAUAAAAUCUGGAGGAGCACUGUUGGAGAUCAGUGCUGAGGGCCUCCAAGUCAGGAAGGAAUGGAGUGGGGUGGUCACCAGCGCCCUGACCCAGCCUCUCCCUUGAGAAUAGGACCCUGCAUGUGGCCAGCUCCAGCCACCUGAGUCACACAGAGGUGGCGUUAAUUAAUGUAUUUGUUUUUAUUUUUCUAGUACUGGGAAUUGAAUCCAGGGCCUUUGCACUGAGCUACAUCCUCAGCCCUUUUGAAAUUUUUCAUUCAAGGUCUCACUAAGUCAGGCUGGGCUUGAAUUUGAUCCUCUCACCUUGGCCUCCCAAAUGGCUGGGUUGACAGGUGCGUGCCACCACACCUGUCUGAGUUGGCACUUUAGACUCCAGAUGGUCCUGAGGCAAAAUCUCCUCACCUUCCUGGCAAACCACUCUCUGUGCCCACUGGACCCUGCCUGGCUCCGACCUUCGGAUGCCCAGCGACCCCCACCCGCUGGCAGGAAGGUCUCUGUCUGCAGACUCUGGACAUGAACACACACAGCCCCUUGUCCUCUGGUGUCCAGGAAAAUUGUCCCUUCUCUCACUUCCAAGGCAGGGGGUACAUGGCUGGCAUGCAGAGGGGUCCUGCAGGCUCAGCCCCAGAGCCCUGUGUGCCUAAUGGUGCAUCUCACAGUAAGGACUCAGGGCACAGCAGAGAGCCCCAGCAAGAACCCCAAAGACCAGGAGAUGUCUAGAGCUAUGUCCAUCUCCAUCCCUACUACAGCCCUCUUCCUGGCCUUUCAUUAAUAAAACCAAGCCCUGAUUUCAUGGGAACAAGGACCUGCUUCCUAUGCCACACCUCCUAGGGGCCCUUGGUAUGCUCCCUGCAUCCCUGUGGCUGACCUCGCGGGCCUCUGUGCCCCGAGUGCCACAGUACACACCUUUCCCCAGCAAUCUCCACACUUCCUCAGACAGAACUAAGAGCAGGCUGGGCAAUUUGGAUAAAAGUGCAGUGAACUCAGAUAGGCACUGGAAGCUGGUCAGCUGGGCGGAGGCCAUUGCUCCACUCUACUGGGGUCCCCAGCUGCCUGUGAGCUGGCCAUUGGCCCAGAACACUGUAUCUAUCUCCAGGAAAGGCCCUCAUGGCUCCUCUGUGCUCUCAGUGUCCUAACAGAAGCGACAAGGCCCAGAGGGGGAAGGGAUUCCCUCCUGCUGCCUAAGGGCUACUGCUUGCAGUCCUUCCCCCAAAUGACCUACCCCUUCCCUUCCAUGGAGACUGGCCAAUGGGAAGGUCUGCCCUCUUCAUUCCCAUCUGCAGGAGCGUCACCCACCAGGCCUCUAGGAGAUAAACUCAUCAGACCACAACCCAGGAGGCCCAAAUUCUGUUCAAGGUGGGAAUGACUUUGUGGAGCCUAGGGUGGGUCUGUCCAUACAUCUUCUAUUCAUUCACCACUGCCCCCAGCUCCAGGUCACCCAGAAGUGCUGGGGAUGGGGCUCCAGGCCACACUUGCCAGCACCCUGGCCCACUGGCUUCAUGCUGGGUUCAGCAAGGCAGGCUCAGGGGGCAGGUGGAAAGGUGAGUAGGAAAGAUGGCAGUGGACAGUUGGCUCAGGCUCCCAGAAUCCUCUGGUAUUGCUAAUGCCACCUCCUGCAUCCCCUCCAGCACCAGCCUUGCCCCUUGCAGAGGGACGGCAGCAACCAGGCUAUGACCCUUGGCAGUGGAGUAGCAGCCACUGCAGCUCUGGGGGUCGACACCCCUUACAGAGGCUGAACACCAGCCCCGCUGGCCCUGCUCAGGCCAGGACAGGCCAUUUCUUUCCUCUUCUUCCCCAACUCUAGGGCUGGUGGAGAUUCUUGCAGUUGCUAAUCUCUAGGUUAUUUCAGCUCCCCACUCCCGUGCAACUAAUCCUCCAUAUCAAAUGCCAUCUGUUUGAAACAUCUAGUGUGGUUUUUGCUUCCCUGACUGGACAGAAAUCUUCCUUGGAGAUCCCAAAUUGGAGUGUUCUAAUAGUCACGAUGAAACCUUCAGGGGAACAUCUGACACACAGUAAGUAUUUUUCAGUGUGAAUGUUAACAUUUACAGAUUAAAGGAAAUGAUAGGAAAAGGUCAAGUUUGAAGAUCAUUCCUCAAAUUGGAGCUGACUGGCACAUUCUUGUAUUAUAUAUUUUCACAUAUUACACUAAUUUAUAGACAUCAAAAAGAAAAACAUUCCCAGUGUAGUUUUAAAUCUAGUGAAUUCAAAAUGAACAAUGAGCAACUGGGAAACUUUACUUUUGCAGAAUUGAACUGAAUGCCAACACAGCCAAGGACUGAGAUAAUUCACACACUAUUGUAAAUUAUUAUAUUAUUGUCAUUAUUUAGUUAUGUUAGGUGUGUUAGGUAAAUGUUAGCAUGCUUUACUAACAUUUUGAAAUUUGGACAGUGUGUUAUUAAGGAAUUGUAAGGCUUUAUGUUAUCUCUCAAUUCACUCCACCUCCCCCUUCCUGUGCUUUGUGACCCCCUCAAAUAAGAGCCACACUGAUAACAGGAGCCAACACUGAGCAGGCUGGAAAAAGUCUGAGGGAGCCUUCUGGAUAUAAGGAGUCCUUACAUCCUGAGAAGAGGGUGUACUGGUCUGUUUUUCAUUACUAUAACAAAAUACCCAGCACUGGGAAACUUUAUCAAUGAAAAAGGUUUGUUUAAAUUAAUUCAUAGUUUUUGGAAGUUAAAAGUCUAAGAUAGGGAAGCCCCAUUUGUCUGGCCUUUGGCAGAAGAGUGUGCGGGAGUCAGAGAUCACACUGGUUGACAGGAAGCCACCAUGAGAGGUAGGGCCAGACUGAUUUUAUAACAACCUCUUCGUGAGAGGGAACUCUGGGUCUCGUGAGAAUUUCCUUAGUGUUUUCUGAGGGUGGUGCCCCUGAUAACCCAAGGACUUGUCACUAAACCUUUGAAAGAUCCCAUUGCCUCCCAACAUGGCCACACAGGGGACCAAAUCUAAAACAUGAACUCUUGGGGACAAAGUACAUGAAAACCAGCCCAGAAAGGGGUCAUUGCCUGAAACAUGGCCAGAUAUCCACUCUGACACAAGGAGAAAGAGCGGGCAAUGUGGACAGAAAGUUUCAAGCAAUGCUUCAUCCAGCUGGACUUUCUGCAGAAAGACAGGACCAGCAGCCAAGGGCUGUGCAUGGCAAAGAGCUUUGACCAAAGGGCCAGACUCUGCCCAAGAUCGAGGCCCAGCCAGGCCAGUGGCCAGCGAGUCCCCCUCCUGUGUGAAGGUUGUCAUGAGUGGAAAGGCAGAGGCAGAGAGAGCAACACAAAAUUGCAGGGUGGGAGUGUGGGAUGGGAGUGAAAUGUCUUUGCUGUGUGUCACUUUGUCUUCACCACUCCCUGCUCCUCCUGUAGUCACAUGGAAAAUGAUUUAUUUGUGCUCCUUUGGAAAUCUGACCCUAAGCUGUCCCCUGUCCUCCAUCCCCACUGCUGCUGGCUCAAGUCAAGGACUUUUUAUGCUUAGCCUGGUCCCUUACAAGAACUUGCUAAGUGAAUCCUCCUCCCUGCGUUCAUCCACAAAUCAUGCCCAUGUCCCAGUGGGCACAGCCGAUACAGUGACAAACAGAGGCGAUGAUGCCCCAGGCCCUGUGUGGCCAGAAAGACAAGCAAAAAAGAGUUGCAGAGGAGAAGAUGUGUGAGAAACCCGGGGUUGAGCCAGUUCCCAUCAAGAGGACUCAAGAGUCUGGGCCAAACAGGACCCUGGGACCCGGAAGGUGACAGGGCUGGGGAGGUGAUGUGGAGACAGAAUGGACAGGCCCAGUGCUCCCAGGUGCCAGCGAGGCAGGAGAAGGGAAGGAAGAACAGCAGGGAGGGCAAGAGACCAGUCCUGGGCAGGCUGCGGGGGAAGCAGAAAGAAGGGAGGCACAGAGGAGGCUGCUACACAGUGCAGCAGGGUCUUGAAAUGGGCAGGAUGGUGCACGCCUGUGAUCCCAGCACUCUGGGAGGCUGAGGCAAGAGGAUCGCAAGUUCAAGCCCCGCCUGAGCAACUUAGUGACUUAGUGAGACCGUGUCUCAAAAUAAAUAAAAUUUUAAAAGAGCUGGGGAUGUAGCUCAGUAUAAAGGUCUUGGGUUCAACUCCCAGUAUCACAAAAAGAGAGAGAAAAAGUGUUCUCCAACUACAUGUGAUUCCUAAGGGCCCUAUUACAGAGACAGGGCAGUCAGCAGCGAAGGGAAGUCGAGCAAGAGCUUGCAACUGGAACCAUUUUUCUAAAAUACAAGACAUUUGUUCUCCAUGGUGUUUGGGAUAAAAAUCAAACUCCACAAUCUGCCUUCGAGGCUUAUAAGUUGUUGGCACCAAACUGCUUUUCAUCACCCUCAUCUCCUUCCAGCUCCUGUCAUUGAAAAGGACUCCUGCCUGCUGCACCCUUAGCUCCUGGAAACGGCCGGCUUCACACAUCGAGGGGCCUCGGCACGAGCCUUCCUCUGGCUUGGACUGCCUUCCCUGGAGGCCCUGGUGAACUCCUGUUUAGCCAUCAAAGCUCUACUUUCCCCACCCCCCUGCACCAAUCACCACUCUAGGCAGCCGUUUUUCCUCCCACUUUUGGGGGGGAGGGGUACCUGGGAUUGAACUCAGGACCUUGCACUAGCAAGACAGGCACUGAGCUACAUCCCCGGCCCUCUUCCCACUUUCUAACAGACAGGUUUCACCUUUUCCUUUUUUAUUCGAGGUACUGGAAAUUGAACCCAGUACCUAAGUGCUGAGCUACAUCCCAAGUCCUGUUUUAUUUUUCAUUUUGAGAUGAGGACUUGCUAAAUCCCUAAGUUGUCUAGAUUAGGCUUGAACUUUUGAUCCUCCUGCCUCAGCCUCCCAGAGUGCUGGGAUGACUAACUCUAUCUUGAAUAUUGAUCCAAGGCUGUCCUACCACACACUCAGGUGAACAUGAAUCAGUAGAUGUAUUUCCAUAUUGACAACCUUAAUGACCAGAGCUCUCUGGUGUAAAAUGUAAAAUUUAUAAAGCUCGCACCAGUAAAAUUCUAAUAAAAUGUCAACAAUCUGCAGCCACCAGUGACCUGUCAUCAGGGGACAGUCUGUUCAAGAAACAAGUAGUUGUCUUAAUUGUUAGAAUAAUAUUCAAGGAAUGAUUUAUUAAUUUUCCCCUUUGCCUCACAUUAGCUUCUUUCGCAGUGCGCCCGCCUGCAGAAGUCAGCUGUAGCCACCCAAAUGCAUGAACAACAACAGCAGAAAACCUAAGAAACAACCACUCCUCUUCUCUUGCCUACCAACUGCUAAAUCCAAGAAAAUGUACAUUUUCCCAUUUUGAGGAUUCCAAUAGGACUUAGCCUCCAGGAGCUUGGAGUAUUGCCUGCAAGAUGCUGGACCCCAGCUUCAGACUCCACAAAAACAAAGUGUCCGUGCCAGCCUCGGCCACCAAGGUGGAAAGCCACCAGCCUCCCUCUGUGGGUGGUGGCAUGCUGCUAACUCAUGCCCUCAAUGUCCCAGGGGCUUUUGUGCAUUCGGGGGGCAAACUGUCUGUCUUGGGCAAAGUCUCCCCAGAGGCCCAGAUGGAGUGCCCUGCAUGUCAUCCUGCUUAGCCUCUCCUUCCUUCUCCAUCCUCUGCCUCAGUGGGGGGUGGCACUUCUGUCCCAUAGAAUAGGGCGUGGGAGGGCGUGACAGGUCCACACCAAGAGCCAGGCCUGGGAAGCAUGAAAGCCUCAUUCAUGAGAUUUGUUCCCAGAGCACAGGACCCCAGGCCUCCGACUCCCCCCACAAAUCCGACUGCACAGAUGCAGGUUCCCUAUGCUGCCUGCUGGCUGACACCGCAGCCCAGGAGGCAGCCUGUGGAAUUAGCAAUGAUACCGGUGGCUUCUAAGAAAACAAAUCAGUCUGCAAGGCCAGGAUUCGAAGAGGAGCUGAGGCUUGGGAGGAGCGAAUCGCCAGCUUGUCCAUAGUCCCUGCGCCUCAGCGCCAUGCACAGAACCCCACGCUGAGGACAGAGCCACAUCAGCUGUGAGGCUCUGAGGCUGAGGACAGUCCUGUCAGGCGAGCCUGCAGAAGCUUGAAUCCUCACUUCUGGAUACUUUAUGCAACCAUGAUGGUCAACACUGCUCGGGUGAUUGGCCUCUGGGUCCCUCCUGCAGGACACAGCCUGAAAGCCAGAGGGCACUGAGGCUGGGUCACCAUGUGGCCAGUGGCCAGGAGUCCUGAAACAGCAAUAGGAAAGAUCUUCUGCAGGAGGCACCGUUCAGAGUUGUACUGCCUGAAGUUGUGCAACAUGGCGGCUCUGGAUAUCUGGAGAAAUAGUUUUCUUCAUGAAUGUGGGACAGGAAGGCACCAUCUCUGCAAAUCAAUAUAAGUCCUGGGUCUCCUCUCCGAGACUGGACAGCUACAGCCUGUGUGACUGAGUAGACACUCGACUCAGCAUCUUCCGUGACACGAUCUCAAAAGUCUUGGACUUGGAGAGCAGAACUUGCUCCUGCGUUCUUCUGUUGGACCUCAAAUGCCACCACCCAGGCCACUGUCCCACGAGAGCCCUUUCAGGGUGUCAGACUAUGGGGCAGGCUUUGCUUAGGGAAGGAUGGGUACCAAGAACCCCUGAGGCUAAAGGAUGGGCUUUCCUUCCAAGUGGACAUUUUGGGUUUAGAAGAAGGAAAUCUCUAGACAAAAUUUGACCUUGAAUGGCAGGUACCAACACACACACACACACACACACACACACACACACACACACACACACACACACACGGGAUCAAAUUCAUGGGCCUCUGAGAGUUUCAACUCUUUUUCCCUAGCACUUUGGUGAUGAAAGGAGCCAAUAGUUUCAAAAUUACCCCCUUUUCUGUUGGGAAUCCCUGUGUUCAGGCCCCAAUCUCCAGUCCAGGCUGGUGCGUGGAAGCUGGGGGAUGGAUUUAUGAGGGCAAGCAGUCGAGGGACGUCCCGUGGUACCACCAAGGAGCUGUGGUCCAGGCAGGCUAGGGACCUGACCAGCAGUAAAGCAAUCAAGGCUCACAGAGGAACUGAACACCAGGCAGGGCUUGUGAUGUGGGGUUUGCCUGCCAGGUGGGUGACAGUUGCCAAUGUUUGAGAUGUUUUGCACCUGAUGCAUAUGGUUGAUAAAGAUCUCGCAAUUCUUCCA